GUGUCAGCCGCCGCGGUAAUACCAGCACCCCGAGUGGUCGGGAUGAUUAUUGGGCCUAAAGCAUCCGUAGCCGGUGUAACAAGUCCUCCGUUAAAUCCACCUGCUUAACAGGUGGGCUGCGGAGGAUACUGUUACACUAGGAGGCGGGAGAGGCGAGGGGUAUUCCACGGGUAGGGGUAAAAUCCUCUGAUCCGUGGAGGACCACCAGUGGCGAAGGCGCCUCGCCAGAACGCGCUCGACGGUGAGGGAUGAAAGCUGGGGGAGCAAACCGGAGUAGAUACCCGGGUAGUCCCAGCCGUAAACGAUGUAGGCUCGGUGAUGGACUGGCUCCGAGCCAGUCCAGUGCCGCAGGGAAGCCGUUAAGCCUACCGCCUGGGGAGUACGGCCGCAAGGCUGAAACUUAAAUGAAUUGACGGGG
rnacentral:rRNA from 1 species